CAGCCGCCACGGUAAUACAGAGGAUGCAAGCGUUAUCCGGAAUGAUUGGGCGUAAAGGGCUCGCAGGCGGUUUCUUAAGUCUGAUGUGAAAGCCCCCGGCUCAACCGGGGAGGGUCAUUGGAAACUGGGAAACUUGAGUGCAGAAGAGGAGAGUGGAAUUCCACGUGUAGCGGUGAAAUGCGUAGAGAUGUGGAGGAACACCAGUGGCGAAGGCGACUCUCUGGUCUGUAACUGACGCUGAGGAGCGAAAGCGUGGGGGGCGAACAGGAUUAGAUACCCCCGUAGUCCCUGUCUCUUAUAC
rnacentral:rRNA from 1 species